CACAAUAGCAGCUUCAUUUAUGAUUUGAAUUUAAUCAAACUUGCACAGAUUUGUGUUACCAUAAGAUCUUGGUUCCUUUCUUGAGCUGGCCAGAUUCCGUCAUGGGCUCCAGAGUUAUAGCCCUUAAAAAGUCCAAAAUUUGCUAUUUUGGCUUUUGCAGCCUUAUAGAGACUUCAUUUAUGGUUUGAUUUGAUUCAAACUUCCAAAAUAUCUUCAACAGCAAUAAAUCUUGGAUUUUGUGACGAAUCAUGUGAAUCAUCCAAUCGUAGGUUCCAGAGUUAUUUUUUAUCUUAUUACCUCCCCUGAUUGUAAUCAAAAUGGAUUUAUAUCAGUAAGUACUUAUAGGACUUACUUGAAAUUUCAUUAUUGUCAUUAGUUGGACUGAGACAAUCAAGGUAGAUAACUAUGGACUGAUUUUAUGUCAAAUUACCUGACUUUAUUUCAAAUUAGAAUGAGUAUAUCUCCAUAACUAAUGAAGAUACUGAUCUGAAAUUUCAUUUAUGUCAACAGAUGGACUUGGACAAUCAGUGAAGAUACAUAUUGACUGAAUUUAUGACAAUUUACCUCCCUUUAUUUUUUUAUAUAAGUAAUUACACCUUAGCAGCUUCUAAUGAGAUUGGUUUGAAACGUUAUUCGUUAUACGUCUUCCACGGUAAGAAAUAGUCAUAUUAAAUAACCCUUGACUGAACAUUUAUCGAUAUGAAUUCUUUACUAAUAUAUUGUUGUAUAGGUUUGUACUUUGUAUCUAUUAAAUGCAUAUACCAAUGCAUGAUUACCUCCCCUGAUUUUAAUAAAAAUGGAUUUAUCUCGGUAAAUAUUUAUAGAACGCAUUUGAAAUUUCAUUAUUGUCUUUAGUUGGACUGAGGCAAUCAGGGUAGAUAGCUAUGGACUGAUUUUAUGUCAAAUUCCCUCCCUUUGUUAAUCCCCCGCUGUGGCGGAGGGAUUAUAGGAAUGGUCUGCGUCCGUCCUUCCGUCCGUCCGUCCUUCUGUCCGUCCUUCCGUCUGUCCUUCCGUCCGUAACAAAAUCGUGUCCGGUCCAUAUCUCCUAAAUCCCUUGAAGGAUUUUCAUGAAACUUAGGUCAAAUGAUCACCUCAUCAAGACGAUGUGCAGAACCCAUGAGUCAGCCUUGUCGGUUCAAGAUCAAGGUCACAACUCAAGGUCAAAGGUUUGAGCCUGCCAUUUUGUGUCCGCUCUAUAUCUCAUAAACCCCUUGAAGAAAUUUUAUAAAACUUGGGUCAAAUGAUCACCUCAUCAAGACGAUGUGCAGAACCCAUGAGUCAGCCAAGCCGGCUCAAGGUCAAGGUCACAACUUAGGGUCAAAGGUUUGAGCCUUCCAUUUUGUGUCCGCUCUGUAUCUUCUAAACUCCUUGAAGGAUUUUCAUGAAACUUGGGUCAAAUGAUCACCUCAUCAAGACAAUGUGCAGAACCCAUGGGUCAGCCUUGUCGGGUCAAGGUCACAACUCAAGGUCAAAGGUUUGAGCCUUCCAUUUUGUGUCCGCUCUAUAUCUCCUAAACCCCUUGAAGAAAUUUUAUCAAACUUAGGUCAAAUGAUCACCUCAUCAAGACGAUGUGCAGAACCCAUGAGUCAGUCAUGCCGGCUCAAGGUCAAGGUCACAACUUAGGGUCAAAUGUUUGAGCCUUCCAUUUUGUGUCCGCUCUAUAUCUCCUAAACUCCUUGAAGGAUUUUCAUCAAACUUGGGUCAAACGAUCACCUCAUCAAGGCGAUAUGCAGAACUUAUGAGUCAGCCAUGUUGGUUCAAGGUCAAGGUCACAACUGAAGGUCAAAGGUUUGAGCCUUCCAUUUCGUGUCCGCUAAACCCCUUGAAGGAAUUCUAUAAAACUUGGGUAAAAUGAUUACCUCAUCAAAAAGAUUUGCAGAAAUUAUGAGUCAACCAUGCCAGCUCAAGGUCAAGGUCACAACUAAGGGUCGAAGGCUUGAGCCUUCCAUUUUGUGUCCACUCUGUAUCUCCUAAACCCCUUGAAGGAUUUUCAUCAAACUUGGGUCAAAUGAUCACCUCAUCAAGAACUCGUGAGUCAGCCAUGUCAACUCAAGGUCAAGGUCACAACUGAAGGUCAAAUGUUUCAGCUCUGUAUCUCCUAAACCCCUUGAAGGAUUUUCAUGAAACUUGGGUCAAAUGAUCACCUCAUCAAGACGUUGUGCAUAAUUCACGAGUCAGCCAUGUCAGUUCAAGGUCAAGGUCACAGCUGAAAUCAAAGGUUUACCCUUUCACUAUCCAUAGCAGUGGCGGGGGAUUUAGCUGUCCUUCAGACUGCCUUGUUUCAAAUUAAAAUGGGUGUAUCUCAGUAACCAAUGAAGAUACUGAUUUGAAAUGUCAUUUGUGUCAUCAGAUGAACUCGGACAAUCAGGGUUGAUAACUUUUGACUGAAUUUAUGCCAAAUUACCUCCCUUUAUUUUAUAUAAACGAAUAUAUAUCAGCAGCAUCAUAUGAGAUUGGUUUUAAAUAUUACUUAAGUCUUCUAGGAUAAGGAAUAGUCAUGUUAGUAUAAAAAUCUAGCAUUUGAGCCUAGGACCCUCAAACUUGGUAUGGAAAUUGGCCCUGACAAGGUAAAAAGGGACUGUUACAUGAAAAUGUUUAUCCUGAUCAUAUUUAAUGUGUAUGCCUAUGUGCUCUAUGUCAAAACUUGAUCAUAUCAUUUUGAGCAAUGGUACUCAGGUGAGCGAUACAGGGUCAUCAUGACCCUCUUGUUUAAGGAAGAUAUUUGUUUGCUAUGUGAAUUAUAGCAGUUGCCUUGUGUAUAUACAGUUGAUAGAAUAUGGUAAAUAUAUUGUCUGAAGCUUUAGCUAUUUUGUUUUAUAUAUGAACUUUUUUUGAGUUUUACUAGUUAUGUUUAUUGUUUGUUUAUGAAAAGAGUAUAUAUUAAUAGUAUAAAAAUGUUGUUUUGAUCUAAACUUUGGUAUUAGUAUUUGCACAUCUGAGAGCAUAAAUUGCUUAAAGUCAGCUAUUGCGAUCGUCCAUUCUCGUCUGGUGUCAACAACUUUUAAAGGUCAGAAUGUUAACCUUGAUGAAAUCUCGGACAAGAUUUCCACUAUUUCAAAUAAAUCAUAAAAAUAUGUAGAAUUAAUUGGAAACAUAAUUAAAUUUCCAGAUGCUCCAUUUUCUAUUUUUCUUUCAUAAAACGUUUCCAAAUUUGGUAUAACAAGAAAAGGGGACUUUGGACUAUGUACAAAACAUAAGCUUACAAAUAUUAGAUUUCAUGUAAGUCUAUUUGUAUAGGACGAUGUGUAUAUAUAUUUGAUAGACUAUGGUAGGUGUAUGGUAUGUUUGCCUUAUGUAAUUUGUAUUAUAUUUGAAUUGUUUUGAGUUUUUCCAGUAAUGUUUAUGUUGAUUGCUUGUAAACAGAAGACAUGAUAGUUUAAUGCUGUUUUGAUCGUAACCUUGUUACAAUGACACGUUACAAGGUUAUAACACACUAAACAGCCAGCACUAUAUAUUCUAUAUAAAAUGACAUGUUUUCACAAUGUUGCAAUACACACCUAGACCCAUUUUAAAUUUUUUUAACUUACAUUUUCUUGUAGAGCAACAUUUAUACUGUAAAAAUAUCCAAAGAAAAGUAGGGGUCAUAUUUGAUGCAAGAAAAAUAUUUCUGGUCAAACGAACACACCGUAAUUUUUACACUGAAAUGACAAUCACAAUUUAGGGUAGGGGUGUAUGAAUAAAUUUCACAUGUUAAAUCAGUUUGGAGUCAUUUUUCAACAUGCAAAUGCUAUCAGUAUGUCAAGUAUAGGCAUGCAAUAUGAUUUCAACCAAUAUAUGGCAAUGAUUUCAAGGAGAAAUCAUUCUUACAGCAAAAAGAACUGAGAACUAUUUGAAUCCGCCAUUAUGCGAUUAUACCAUUUUUUCAUAGGUGCUCAGGCUAUUUAGUGUCUGUAUACCCAUAAUGACACGUUAUUUGCUCACUUGAGAGCACAAAAUGUGAUCGUCCAGCACCCGUCGUUAUCAGUCUCCAUGAAUUUUGACUAAAUUUCAACGAAACUUGAUCAGGGCCCAGUUGUUCGAAACUUUAACAGCCUGUUAAACUAAUCUCAUGUUAAAUAUUGAUUGAUGUUUUAAUUUUACUGUAAAGACAUUUAUUGUUUAUAAACCUUAAGUCCUACUUUGCUAAGUUUUCUAAAGUGUAAAAAUAUUAAUCUAAAAGUUAAUCGGCUGUUAGCUUAAUCAACUGUUAAAGUUUCGAACAACCGGCUCCAGAAUGAUAGCCUUAAGAAAUCUCGGACAAGAUUUUUAAUCCCCCGCCGUGACGGAGGGAUUAUAGGAACGGUCUGCGUCCGUCCUUGUCCUUCCUUCCUUCCGUCCGUCCGUCCGUAACAAAAUCGUGCCCGGUCCAUAUCUUUUGAACCCAUUAACAUAUUUCCAUUAUAUUAACAACAAAUGUUAAACUCACCAAGGCGAUGUGCAGAACCCAUAUUCCAACUGUGCUGGGUCAUGGUCAAGGUCACACUUGGGGAUCAAAGGUCAUGGGGUGAUAUUUCGUGUCCGUUCCAUAUUUUUUGAACCCCUUGACAUAUUUCCAUUAUAUUAACAACAAAUGUUAAACUCACCAAGGCGAUGUGCAGAACCCAUGUUCCAACUGCGUUGGGUCAUGGUCAAUGUCACACUUUGGGAUCAAAGGUCAUGGGGUGAUAUUUCGUGUCCGGUCCAUAUCUUUUGAACCCCUUUACAUAAUUCCAUUAUAUUAACACCAAAUGUUUAACUCGCCAAGGCGAUGUGCAGAACCCAUGUUCAAACUGCGCUAGGUCAUGGUCAAGGUCACACUUGGGGAUCAAAAGUCAUGGGAUGAUAUUUUGUGUCUGAUCUCUAACUUUUUAACACCUUGAAGGAUUUUGAAGAUACUUGACACAAAUGUUCAUCACAUCAAGAUAACUUGCAGUGCGCAUGUUUCGGAUGGCCCGCUUCAAGGUCAAGGUCAGAGGUGAAAGGUCAUAUGUGUGUAUUGCUCACCAUUGCCAUGGUCUUGGUUUUCAUUAAUUUUUGUUUUCCUUUCGCAGAUCUCUUUUCUGUUCACUUACAUUUCUUUUAAUUGAAUAUUUUCCCUUUAAUGAUACUAUAAAUAGCUUUUUUGCAACAUUUUUACUAUUGGUUGUAGGAAAAAAACGAGACCACUUUUAUGUGGUACAACAUGGAUGGUACUUCCAAUUGUUAGGUGUAAUUUGACAUAUCUGGAUUAUUAAUCCCCCGGGGGUUAUAGGAAUGGCCUCCUUCUGUCCUUCCGUCCGUCUGUCCGUAACACUUCGAGUCCGCUCCAUAUCUCCUAAACCCCUUGAAGGAUUUUCAUGAAACUUGGGUCAAAUGAUCACCUCAUCAAGAUGAUGUGCAGAACCCAUGAGUCAGCCUUGUCGGUUCAAGGUCAAUGUCACAACUCAAGAUCAAAGGUUUGAGCCUUCCAUUGUCCGCUCUAUAUCUCCUAAACCCCUUGAAAGAAUUUUUUAAAACUUGGGUAAAAUGAUUACCUCAUCAAAACGAUGUGCAGAAAUUAUGAGUCAACCAUGCCAGCUCAAGGUCAAAGUCACAACUAAGGGUCGAAGGUUUGAGCCUUCCAUUUUGUGUCCACUCUGUAUCUCCUUAACCCCUUGAAGGAUUUUCAUGAAACUUGGGUCAAAUGAUCACCUCAUCAAGACGUUGUGCAGAAUUUAUGAGUCAGCCAUGUCAGUUCAAGGUCAAGGUCACAGCUAAAAUCAAAGGUUUACCCUUUCACUAUCCAUAGCAGUGGCGGGGAAUUAAGCUGUCUUUCAGACUGCCUUGUUACUUUAUAAUAUGAGCAAUAGCUGUUCCACGUCAUCACUGACCUGACACCAUGACACAAGGGCCAUAACUCUUGCACGAAUAUUUCAUGAAUUAUCUCCCCAUUUAAGUUACUAAUAUAAUAGAAUUAAAGGUUGUUAUGUUGUUUGUAUGUUAAUUUCAACCGCUGGGAUUUCUUAAAUCAUUUAAGGUAGUGAAAGAAUUUUCAAAAUCAAAUUAAAAAUUGAGAAAGCGGCAUUUAAAUAUUUGACCAAAAUGGCAUCAAAAAGCAUGUCCGAUCUCUAAGAAACUUGCAAACAAUGUUUGUGAGCAUAAUAUCACAGCCAAGUUCGAAAAACUACCAAUUUAGCCUUGUGCGCUUUCUGAGUCGAAGAGUUUUCAUCCGAUCUUCACCAAAUUGUUGACAAAGUGUGUGGGCAUGAUGUCUUGGCCAAGUUCGAUAACAACCAAAAGCGCUGUAGGCACUGUUGGAUUAUCAUGGCUCUUGAUUAAUUAGAAAAAAAAACUGCGACUUAAGCCAUGUCCGCCCUCUAAGUCAGUUUACACCCGAUCUUCACAAAACUUAACGACAAUGUUUUUUCGGCAUAAUAUCUUGGCUAAGUUAGACUUUAAACCACCCUAAUCCAUCCUGACACUCUUGGAUUAUGGCCCUUGAAUUUACGUAAUUGAAUAUUUAGUCGGGCGUAAUUUGUGUCAGUCUGGCACUUUUUCUUUGGCGUAAAAUGUUCACCUCUAUGAGACGGAAAUCUCGGGUUCCGAACUCAAAGGUAUUAUAGAGCUUGUCCAGGCUGUAACUUUGCCAUGCAUACUUAAGCAAUCCUUUUAUACGCUCUUUUAAAUAACGUUACGUAUUAUGGAAACGCUCCUGGCGGGCGGGCGAGCGGCGUCCACAAACUUUGACUGGAGCAUUUCUUCUUCAUGCAUGGAGGAAUUUUUAUGUUACUUGGUACAAAUGUUCACCAACAUGAGACGUAGUGUCAUGCAUAAGAACCUGGUCCCUAGGUCUAUGGUCAAGGUCUGACUUAGACGUCAAAGGUCAAAUUCAAUAAUGACUUUGUUUUUAAAAUAAAAAAUAAAAUAAAAAAGAUCUCAGAUCAAAUUGACACUUAUAGGUCUUAAUGAUACAAGAAUGACGACUUUGACCGAAGCAUUUCUUCUUUAUACAUGGAGGGACUUUUAAUGUUACAUGGCACACAUUUUCACCAACAUGAGACGAAGUGUAAUGCAUAUUCUAAUAUGUCUAACAAUGCUUUAAUCAUCACAACGAUGUUAUGUUGACGUAACAUCAACGUGAUAUUUAGCGCCAUGUACGCAUCAAGAAAUAUCACUUUCAAAUUUCAUGAAAUAUUUUACUUAAUAACUUGUUUUAAACGAAAUGUCACAUUGCGCAAAUGUUUUGAUUAAUUUAUACACAUACUAAAUUAGUUAUUCGAUAUGCUGAAUAAUUCGUAAUAAUUUUCGCUUGAACUGAAUUCUGCCGCAAGACGUAUUACCGUUUCCGGUCUUGGCGUGUUUUACCAAAUACCUACUAUUGGCGCCAUGCUUGCGCGAAGAAACAGUUCCAUCAUAUUUGAUAUAAACUUUACAAUAAAGAACAUAUUAGAAUCGAAAUAAUUUAUAGCAAAACAGUACUUUAUCACUAUUUAUACACUCGGGCGGUUAUACGUCGUCCGAAAUAAUUUCACUCUGGCUGCGCCCUCGUGAAAUUAUUACGCCCGACGUAUAACCGCCCAUCGUGUAUAAAUAGUGAUAAAGCACUGUUUUGCUAUAAAAAAUUUUCUUAAAUAAGCAGGUCCCUUGGUCUAAGAUCAAGAUUUCACUUAAAGGUCAAAUUCAACAAUAACUUUGUCCGGAGCAUUUCUUCUUUAUCCAUGAAGGGAUUUUGAUGUUACAAGGCACAAAUGUUCACCAACAUGAGACGAAGUGUCAUGCAUAAAAAGCAGGUCCCUAGGUCUAAGGUCAAGGUCUCACUUAGAGGUCAAAGGUCAAAUUCAGUAAUGACUUUUGUCCGGAGCAUUUCUUUUUCAUGCAUGGAGGGAUUUUGAUGUUACUUUGCACAAUUGUUCACAAUUAUGUGACGGAAUGUCAUGCGUAGAAACCAGGUCUGUAGGUCAUAGGUCAAAAUUACACUUAUAGGUCAUAGAAUACAAGAAUGACUACUUUGUCCGGAGCAUUUCUUCUUUAUACAUGGAGGCAUUUUGAUGUUACAUGGCGCAAAUAUUCACUAACAUGAGACGGAGUGUCAUGCAUAAGAAGUUGGUCCUUAGGUCGAGGUCGCAAGUAGAGGUCAAAGGUCUGUUUCAGUAAUGACUUUGUCCGGAGCAUUUCUUCUUCAUGCAUGGAGGGACUUUGAUGCUACUUUGCACAAUUGUCACAAUUAUGAGAUGGAAUGUCAUGCACAUAAACCAGGUCCCCAGGUCUAAGGUCAAAGUAACGCCAAGUC